CUGCUCAUCUACAAAGUACGGGGUACACACACUACCCUGCUCGCGUGCUUGUCUGGAGGGGUUUGUCUGUAUGCGUGUGUGCAUGGCAUCGGUGACCCCCUCUCCCCUUCCCUCGUUGUCAUCUUUCAAUUGUCUUAGACUUCUCUUCCCCGUCUCUUUGGUGUUGUCGUUGCUGUCCGCCGCCCUCUGCCGCGUCUUUCUUGUUUAGCUGGGGUGCCAUCUCUGUCUGUCUGGCCGGCUGGUUGGCUCGCUUUCUGUCUCGCUCGCACUACAUCUCUGCAUCGCGCACGUUAAUACCACCACCACCACCACCACCACCGCCACACACGCGCACGCCUACGCCGUUGUUACUCUGCGUUUUUCGUUGAAUAACACGCUAAUCAAUCCCCACCGUUGUCGCCGUCGCUCAUCUCUUCCUGUCGUUGUGAUUUGGGUCAGUUGGCUCAGCCUACGUACUUCAUAUCCCUUCUGCUUUGGGUGCUGAUCUCCUUCAUCUUCUCGUUCCGCUGUUGCACUGCGUUGUUUGCUGCGGUGAUCGACUCAAACCCUGGAACAGGUGAGUCGGCCUGCUGGUCCAUGAGCCUGCAAGUCUGUGUCUUGGAUCCUUCGUUUCGUUGAGUUAGCGUGCACCCCCUCCCCCUUCCCCUCUCCCUCGUCUUUCCGCAAAUUUAGCUUCCUACCCGGCCCCUCCAUUCCAUCCCGAGCGCAACGAUACAUGCGCACUGGCCUUACGGGGUGCACCAUCUGCUCUUCGCUCUCUCCACUCCUGUGUGCGUGCCGUCGUCGCCGCGCAACUCUUCUGUUGUCGCUGCUUACAUAGCCAGCUCAUCCUCCUUGUGUGUGUGUGUGUGUUUGGCAGCUCUGCUGACGCCCUUCCUCCUUCCCCUUCCCCUUCCCUCAUCAUCACCCCAUACGCUUACCGCCGUGUGUGUGUGUGUGUGUGUGUGUGUGUGUGUGUGUGGUGUCGUGUUGUUUGCCCGUGGCGUUCUCGUACGCCUCUCUUCCUUCGUGAGAAGACCGGCACACCGUUGAAGCAGCCAGGACUCCUUCGGCGGUCAACGACGGUGCUCUCCUGCUUUCCCGAGUCGUUCCUCCGCUGCGUAUUUGUCUCCGUGCUGCUGGUGUCCCUCCCUUUCCUCGUGCCUCCUGCCGCCGCCGCACACUUCGGCAGCAGCGGCAGCAAGCUGAAGCGGUGAGGGAGGGCGAGACAAGAGAAGACACGUAGCAAGCGCGCGCAAUAUAGAGGGAACAAGUUAGGUGUCAUUUGACAGCAGGCGGGGUAGCCGCAGCGGCGCAGGGCUACGACGGCCCGCGAGAAGGGCAGAGGUGAGAAUGCAGAAAACGAAGCCUGUAGUAACGGCGACGACGACGCCGCCCAAGGCGGCGCAGGCACCCAAGGAACCCACCAUCACCAUCAUCUCGAGCGACGGGGAGGCCUUCUCACUAAUCCCCAGCACCAUCGCCCACUCGCACCUGCUGGAAGACGCCGUGCGUCGAUGGGCAGAGGUCUAUCAAGCGAAAGUGAAGGAGCGGAGCGGCGCACCCUGCACCCCGACGGAUGCGAACGACGACGAAGGCGAUGCCACGGCAGAUGACCUGGAGGAGACCCCAGAUGAGAACUACAUUGCCCGCUUCUACGAAGAAACCGCGAGUGAUGUGACGGCGACAAGCGGCGCCUUGGAAGACGUGGGUACCGGCGGUGGUGCCGGCGCCGCCCCACCGCCGUCCGGCAGAGGCACUGCCACCGCCGCUGCCGCUGCCAAUGCCGACGACGACGACGACGCGGGAUCGAAGCGGCAGCAGAGGCGCCCGCAUGCGGCCCGAACGAAGAGCGCGCGGACCCGUGACGAAGAGGGCGCACAUCACCCUAAGAAAGUAGCGCCGCCUUUUGAGUUGGCGGAUGCAGAUGAGGGGACGUCGGCGGCGAGACGGGCCUCAGGCGACACGGAGAGCAACCUGCGCGGUGCCGACAAUGGGGACACCGACUCAGACCGCACCGCCAGCGUGCUGCCCUCAUCGGUGGAGAGCUCUAUGUCGAGUACAUCGAGCCCGUUGAAGUCGCAGAGCAACGGCGGAACUCCGACGCGGACCAGUGGCGCGGCGGGGGUGUCAACCGAACUGGCAGGAGUGCCACGCUCCACUCAUACGCCUCACUUGGACACCCACGCACAGCCGUCGCCGAUGUCGACAGCAUCGUUGCGCCAUUCCACCGCCGCCGUCGGCGUUGAGGCAAGCCGCAGUGGAAAUUUAUGCAGCACGCCGACAGGGGCAGCCGCACAUGCUUCAACAGCCACGGCCGCCACCACCAAGAGUCGUAGCGCGCGCUCCCCUGUCGCCACUGUCACCUCUCCCUCCAGCCGCAGCUCGCAUGUCUCUCAGUCGACGCUGAUGGAUACUGACCAGUCGACACCGAGCGUGCUCAGCGGCGAGGAAGGCGAAGAAAGCGAGGAGGAACGAGGCCGCGAUGAGGGUGCUGCUGGUGCGAGUGGAGGCAAGCGACCCUCGCGGGACUCUCGCAAUCUAGGCGACGAGGGAUUAGACAGCGUAGAGGUCUCUUCGUCCUCCUCCGAGUUGAUGCCGCAGUCAGGGAGCCCGGCAAACACUACCGCUGCAAUGCCGAAUGGCCGUGGCGCGCGGCGCCACAGGGACCCAGUCGUCUCGACCUCGUCCAGUUUCACUUCCAACACGACCUCCUCCUCGUCGCACCUCACCACGUCUGGUGGCGGCCGCAGCAAAGGCCACCGGCGCAGCAGCACCGUCGUCAAGGUUGGUGCAGCCGAGGCAGACGACGACUUCGAUGAGGAAGCCAAGGGAGAUGCGGCUAAGGCGGACGUAAGAGUGGCGCUGGACACCGCGGCAGCAGCAGCGAUGGCCUCUACUGGAAGCGCUCGCAGCGGUAGCGGCCGCCCCAGCACGUCGCCUCCGCCUCCGGAUUGGUGCUCCCCCAGCAGCUGCCACCAGCGCACGCCGUGCAUGACGGACGAGGACGACGUCGGGGCAAUGAUAGCCGAAGACGGGCUUGGUGCACAGGGUGGCAUUUCGCCCGCGCUUAGGUCAAGCCGCACAGAAAGCAUUGGCUGCUUCUCGCCGUCUACCAAGCCUCCACUCGCACCUGGCGCAGGAGGAACCGCUACGGUUUCCGUGCCAUCGCCAAUGGAUCACACCUCGCUGACCUCUGCCACACCCGCUGCCACGCCAGCCAGUGCGGCCGCAGAGACUGCCCUCGCCACCAAGAGAAACAGCGGCGGCGCCGGCGUGAAGCCCCUCACGAGUAGCCUCGCCUACGCGGGCGGCAUCCGCAUCACGUCCAGCGCCAUUGUGCUCGACCUCGUGCGAUCCGCCUCGCCGUGCGCCUCUCCAAGCUCUGGCAAAGCCGCAGCCGCUGUGCCAGUCGCCCAAUCCGCGGCCAGCGCCGCUGGCGCACCACCUACAGCGGCCGCAUCGACCGUCAAUAUUCGCUCCUCCACGCUGCUCGUGUGCAUCAAGUACAUGAAGCACUUCGCCGAGGCGGAGGCACAGGCAGCGGCUGACGCAGCCGCAGCUGGCAAGCGCCGCAAGCAUCUGCGCCACAAGUAUCGGCGUCACAAGUAUCGGCGCGGCCGCCACGGCAGUGACAGCAGUGGGAACGACGACGAUAAAGACAGCAGCGCAACGGGCACCUCCUCCGCGUCUUCACUGUCGAUCACGUCGGGGUCCUCCUCGGACAACAGUGACGAGGACGACGCCGACACUGAAGUUUCAACGGUCAGCGACUCAUCCUUCAGCCCAAUGUCGAUUGGAGCGCCGCCAGGCGGUCCGUGCGCGAGUGGUGGGGCGGUGAGAAGGGGUUACCUAGCUGGCGCGGCGCGCGGCACAGGACCCGGCACCCCGGGGUCGCCUCUGGGUGGGCCCACUGCCAUUCCGGCGCCUCUGACGGCGCCGCUAGUGGCGCUUCUCUCCCCAUGGGAGAAGGACUUCCUCUACAUGGACUUGCUCGGCGCACCCGAGACGGUGCUCACAGCGUCGCACGCCAUCUUAGACGUCUGCCCUGGCUUCGAUUACGGCUCUCCGAGCGUGCAUCUGGGGGAUGUAAAGGUGAAAGCAGCUCUCAUGGCCCCACCGCCACCGCCGGAGGGAGUGCGCACGCUUAUAGAAGUCAUGGCCGCGGCGAAGCAGCUGCAAAUCGAGCCCCUGCACGCUCUCUGUGCCGGGUGGUUGGCCGACUUCAUGAUCCGAGCUUCAUACGGGGCGACGGACAACUUCGAGGCGGCGCAUCUGAUUCGGCAGUGUCUUCGUGUGACAAGUGACUGGAGUCGGCGGGAGACGGACUGCCUGAAGAUCGAAAAUGAGUGGCCAGCGAAUGAGGAGUCCGAGUAGCGGGCGGUUGACGGGAGCAGAAUACGGAGGAGCAAGGGCACCGUGCAGCUGCCGCCGCCACCGCCGGGGAUGCCGCCUGGCUCCCAUCUUAUGUCUCUGAAGGAUAUCACCGUCCCCGCUGCCAGCCUCGUCGUUCUCUGAUGCUUGGGUGUGCGCGCCGAUGUAGGUGCACGUGUGUGCGGGUGCGGAUAUGCGUGAGUCGUGGAGAGGGCGGCGCCUCUCAUUGCUGGUUGCCGCCGCUGUCGUCGAUCUGCCUGUGAUGCCUUUGUUAGUGUGCCUUGUAAUGGCUGCUGCCUGGGCAGCGGAGGCGCUCAUGCUUUGAUUCCUCUUGUUCUUUCGAGUUGGCCCGCUCGACUUGCCUCUUCUCCAUCCACCCGCCCCCCCCCCUCCCCUCCCUCUCCCAAGUCUGCUAGUGUGUCUGGCUGUUGGGCGGUGUACGUUGAUGAGUGUUGGUGUUGUACUCACAGGUGGUGUGCUUGUCGUUGUCUUCGGGGGUGUCUCUGGAUGUGCACAUGGGACGGAAUGGCGCUGAUUUCGAGCAGCAGAAGCAUGCAACAGUAUCAAGGCCAUCAUCUACACGAAGAGGCAGAUCCAGAAGCCCCUGCUUUCCUUCUCUCUGUGUGCGUCAGACUGCCCCCACACCAAUGUGGAAGCACGCAUGCGAGGAGGAGCGGGGGGUACCCCCGUUCAUCCUCCCCUCCAUCAUCUCGCUUCUCUUGGUUUUCUCGUAGAGGGCCGUAGGUCUCGCGGUGCGUUGCGUGGUCGUGGCACGUUGGGGCGUACCUCUGUGCUGCAGAGAGUGGGGAAGAGGAGGGCGGCAGGCGUGCUCGUGAGUGAGAGCUGAGAUGGGGGAGAGCUCUUCCGAGAGGGCGGCACGCGCUUCCACCGCCCUCUCGUCCCCUUCUCUUUGCUAUUCCAGCAGCGUGUUCGGUGUACCACGCUCGAGCGGACGCCAUCUGCCUCGGUGUUCCUCUCUCGUGUGCGCACUGUCGGAACAGCUGCUGCUGCUGCUGCUGCUUCCGUGCCGUCCCCGGCCGCUCUGCCACAGACACACACGCACGCGCACGCACACCAUUAUUUUCACAUUCCUGCCUCUCUCUGUGCAUGUGCCUCCCUCCUCGUCCCUUCGACAAUGUCGCGUUGUAUGUAG
rnacentral:misc_RNA from 1 species